rnacentral:rRNA from 1 species
UCAUCACCUGAACACACCCUGUCUCACCUGAGCUUGGAGGUGAAGCAAGGUUGGGCUUGGUUAGUACUGAGAUGGGAGACCCCUAGGGAAUGCCAGGCUAGGAAAGAA